rnacentral:rRNA from 1 species
UCAAGCUACAAAGAGCACAAGGGGAAUGCCUUGGCACCGAGAGCCGAAGAAGGACGUGACUAACUGCGAUAAGCUGCGGGGAGCCGUAAGUGGGCUUUGAUCCGCAGAUUUCCGAAUGGAGCAAUCCGGCAAGAGGAAAGUCUUGUCAUCAUAUACUGAAUACAUAGGUAUAUGAGGGGAACCGCCUGAACUGAAACAUCUAAGUAGGGCGAGGAAGAGAAAUCAACUGAGAUUCCGUAAGUAGUGGCGAGCGAACGCGGAAGAGGCCAAACCGAGAGUAGUAAUACUUUCGGGGUUCGGACAGAAUACGGCAUUGUAAAGGUUUAGUGGAAUGGAAUGGGAAGUCCAACCGAAGAAGGUGAGAGUCCUGUACACGAAAAGCCUGAACAGCCAUCUGUAUCCAGAGUACCGCCGGACACGUGAAACCCGGUGGGAAUACGGGGGGACCAUCCUCCAAGCCUAAAUACUACUCGGUGACCGAUAGUGAAGAAGUACUGUGAAGGAAAGGUGAAAAGUACCCCUGACGGGGAGUGAAAAAGAACCUGAAACCUUGUGUUUACAAGCACCGAAAGCUCAUCAAAGAGCGAUCGGGUACCUUUUGUAGAAUGGUCCGGCGAGUGAAUGUAACCGGCGAGGUUAAGCACUUAAGGUGUGAAGCCGCAGCGAGAGCAAGUCUGAAUAGGGCGUAUGAAGUCGGUUGUAUUCGACCCGAAACCGGGUGACCUACCCAUGGUCAGGUUGAAGUAAAGGUAAAACUUUAUGGAGGACCGAACCGACUCCCGUUGAAAUGGUAGCGGAUGAACUGUGGGUAGCGGAGAAAUUCCAAUCGAACCCGGAGAUAGCUGGUUCUCUCCGAAAUAGCUUUAGGGCUAGCCUUGAAAUAGAUUACCGGAGGUAAAGCACUGAAUUGGCUAGGGGCCGAGAGGUUACUGAACCUUAUCAAACUAAGAAUGCCGGAUAAUCGUUUUUCAGGAGUCAGACAGUGGGAGAUAAGUUUCAUUGUCAAAAGGGAAACAGCCCAGACCCACAGCUAAGGUCCCCAAGUAUAGUUAAGUGGAAAAGGAUGUGGAAUUGCACAGACAACCAGGAUGUUGGCUUAGAAGCAGCCACUCAUUAAAAGAGUGCGUAAUAGCUCACUGGUCGAGUGACUCUGCGCCGAAAAUUUAACGGGGCUAAACUAUACACCGAAGCUUGGGAUACAUCUAAUGUAUGGUAGGAGAGCGUUCUGUAUGGGGAGAAGUCGUAGCGAAAGCGGCGGUGGACUAUACAGAAGUGAGAAUGCCGGAAUAAGUAGCGAGAAUUAAGUGAGAAUCUUAAUGGCCGAAAGUCUAAGGUUUUUGGAGGAAGGUUCGUCCGCUCCAAGUAAGUCGGGAGCUAAGGUCAGGCCGAAAGGCGUAGCCGAUGCACAUACGGUUGAUAUUCCGUAACCAUCUGUAAUUUAAGCAAAGGGACACUUCAAAAGGGUGUGACCCGGGCGUUGGUUGACCCGGGCGUAAGGGACCGAAAUUAGAGUAGGGAAGCACACUUAGCUGAAGGCGAGAAAAGCUUUGCGUAUAGAAACAGAUGCCCGUACCGCAAACCGACACAGGUGGACAGGAAGAGAAUUCUAAGGCCAGCGGGAGAAGGGUAGUUAAGGAACUCGGCAAAUUGACUCCGUAACUUCGGAAUAAGGAGUGCUCGAAAGAGCCGCAGAGAAUAGGCCCAGGCGACUGUUUAGCAAAAACACAGGUCUCUGCCAAAUCGAAAGAUGAAGUAUAGGGGCUGACACCUGCCCGGUGCCGGAAGGUUAAGAGGAGGAGUGAGAGCUCCGAAUUGAAGCCCCGGUAAACGGCGGCCGUAACUAUAACGGUCCUAAGGUAGCGAAAUUCCUUGUCGGGUAAGUUCCGACC